rnacentral:tRNA from 1 species
GCUAUCGUAACUUAAACUUAAAGUGUAAUACUGAAGAUAUUAGAAUGGAGCCUAAGCCCUCCCGAAAGCA